GGCGCAGCACAGCAGCAGCAGCAGCAACAGCAACGUGGGCCCUCGCGCCGCGCCGCGUGACCGCGCCAACCACUCAGCGGCGAGGGAGGCGGCUCCCAAGGCUUGCCCGGGGCGCGCGUGCGCAGGGAGGCGGCCAGGCUGGUGUCUGUCACGACGGGCGGUGGUGCCCGCGGGAAGGCUCAGCGGGUGCCGGUGCUGAGGCAGGGCGGCCGAGCUUCGUGUGGCGGGAUGACACAAAGCCCGCUGCUAGUCGUGCAGCGCUCUGCCCCAGCGCUGAGGUACUUGGUAACGGCAGGGAUAAUAGAAGUCACAGGAAGAGUGGGCGGCUAAGUGAAUGAGCGUUCAGGUAAGACAAUGUCCCUUUGCAUUCAGGCAACUAUUAACAGCAUGGGUUCUGCUUCCUAAGUAUGGCUGGCGUGAUUAGGAAGAGAGUUCAAUACUUGGAAAGAAAAUAAGGAAGAAAUAAACAAAAACAUCAUUUUCAUAACCCAUGUACACUUAGCACAGGAGUGACGCAUACAGUUAGCACUGCUUACGCCUUACUGCUAACUAUAUAAUCCAUGUAAAUAUUUAUGAUACAGCUAUUAUCAGUGUAAACAUACAGCUUAGUCAUAUGUUGACCCAUAAUGAAAAAGUGACAUUGAGAUCUUUCCUUCGCUUAACAGCACAAGGUUUAAACAGGUUUUAGGAGCAGUUGAGCAGGUCUCAGAACACUCAUUUUUCUGAGAUUUAUACUGAGGCUUUUUGACAUGAAAUAAUUGGGAAGGAGCAGCCUGCUAUGGAAUGCAUGGAUGCAAAUUGAAUCCAUAUCUGAAGGAUGUUGUUUUAAUUAAUGCUGGGAAUCUGAUACCAGCAUAUUUGAAACACUGUUUAUGUUAAUCUUGAAGGAACUAGUUAUGACUAGCUUACAAAUGUAAGAAUGUCAAAGCGUGGUUAUAGUAAAGGAACUGAACCAAGAGAAGCAGUAACCCAGAAUUUGAUGCAUACAUAGAAUAUUAUGAGUCUGUCAUAAAAUUAACAAAAUAGAGAUGAUUAAAGGAGCGGUUUAAACAUGUUAUUAAUUUAUACACAGCUAUUGUACCACUGCUACCCUUCUGGUUCUGAAAACAACACAAUGCUUUGGAAACUGUGGAGGCAAGCCCUUCUGAGAGAUACAUACAGAAACAAGAUCUGAUAGCAAGUAUUUUGUAUGAAGUCAGGGCUUACUCUUUUGGAGUCUUUGAUCUGACAUUAACUUUGUAUUUGUUAUGUAGCCCACCCAUACUAAUUUUUCCUUAGCUGGUGUUCCACUUUCUCCAGUUCAGCACCACCAACACUGUAACUUCAUAAUACAACAUGGAAAAAUUGAGUGAAAAAUGUAGAUGUUUUCUCUCUAGCUUGUAGAGAUAAAAAGGAAUAUAUCCUGGAGGUUCUUGAUCUGUUUGUAUAGUCUGCCAAAAGGAAUAGAAGAAAUGUCUAGUGGUAAAUAAUAGAGUGCAUUGGUCUGAACUUGGGCUGGAAGAAACAGACUAAGAUCAAAAAGGUUUCAUAACACAGUCAAAGGGACGUUUGAUCAUCUAGUCACCUCCUGCUUAUUCAGAUACUUCCACAUUGUGUUGAGAGACUUCAGUUAAACCAAAACAUUUUCAUCCUCAAAAGCCUAAGCUGUUGUAUGUGACCAGAAGCGAGGAGAGUAGACCAAAAGGCGGGGUGAAGGAAAUGAAUGUGUGAAGUAUGCCAAGAAGAUGGUACCAGGCAAUCCCUCUACACAGCUAAAGAGCUUUCUAAAAAAAGGUAUCGAAAGCAAAGAAAGUAUAAUUUGAGAUCACAGGUGAAAACAAACUAUAAUGUAAAAAGUUAU